CCCACAGUCCUCCCUCCCCUCCCGCCAGCAGCAAGUCCCAGGCAGCAGGACCCUUCAUGUCUUGUUGUCAGUGGUUGGGCUGAUGGAUUUCCCUGGUUCUCCAAACUGGCCUGGUACAUUAUUAGCCAACGGGCCCGUUUCUGUCUGCAGGGUAUGAGGCGCAUCCUCAUCCUCCCGGAAUUCCGUGGAGGCGGUGACUGAGCUGUGCCUGGUGUUGUGUUUCCCCAGCUGGACUUCACCCUGCUCAAUGAAGUGCUGUUCGUCUUGCUGGUCGUGCUUUUAAUCUACGGAAUCCUCUUAAUCUUCAUACGGUCAUACUGGUUGCAUCUGUUGUAUGCUGCACUCGGAACUGUGCUCUUCUCAUUUUACUUGGUGAUGGAUGUGCAGCUGUUGAUGGGGGGGAGCCAUCAUGUGCAGCUGGACCCUGAAGAGUAUGUGUUUGCUGCUCUGAACAUCUACUUGGAUAUAAUCAACCUUUUUAUUUUUAUUUUGCAAUUGAUUGGACGGUAGGCCCAUGGCCAAGGCUAGCUUGUGUUGACCAGAGGGAAGGAGGGCCAUCUGCGAAGUGCCGCCAGGCUCAGACAUGCAGAGGUGGCCAUCUCAUAAGCCCUGUGAUUAAAAGAAAUAUUUUAGCGCACUUAUUUUUUUUUUCAAAUGAAAGCAAACAUUCAGUUGAUGGUAGCUUUAACUUAUUGUAUAUUUUAAGUUCCAUUGUCAUGUUGCAAAACUUCCUGUGGGACAUUUCUGAUUUUUAUAAUUUCAAAAGAUGAGUAUCAAAAUACCAUACUUAAACAUUUCUUAGAUGCCUGUUAUUUUGUUGACAUUUUCCUGGCACUUAGUUAAAGCUGUAAACAUCUCUCUCUAUGAAUAAAAUUGAUUA